rnacentral:misc_RNA from 1 species
CCCAAAUACAAUGUCAAAUGCAAAGAGCUAAUAGGAAAAGAAUGCUUACAUAGCAUUGUAGUCAAUUUAUGUCUUGAAGACCUACAAGAAAGAAAAAAAAAAAUACACCUAUGCAAUCGUAAGAAAAUAAGCAAGAUUAAAGGCCACAAAUGACACAUUACUUACAAGUACAGAGGAUUCUGAUUCCUAUCAUAGAUAGUCGCCA